CUAAAUAAGACUAACACAAUGUCAGUCGAGCGGAGACGGGAGCUUGCUCCUUGAUUCAGCGGCGGACGGGUGAGUAAUGCCUAGGAAUCUGCCUGGUAGUGGGGGACAACGUUUCGAAAGGAACGCUAAUACCGCAUACGUCCUACGGGAGAAAGCAGGGGACCUUCGGGCCUUGCGCUAUCAGAUGAGCCUAGGUCGGAUUAGCUAGUUGGUGAGGUAAUGGCUCACCAAGGCGACGAUCCGUAACUGGUCUGAGAGGAUGAUCAGUCACACUGGAACUGAGACACGGUCCAGACUCCUACGGGAGGCAGCAGUGGGGAAUAUUGGACAAUGGGCGAAAGCCUGAUCCAGCCAUGCCGCGUGUGUGAAGAAGGUCUUCGGAUUGUAAAGCACUUUAAGUUGGGAGGAAGGGCAGUAAGCUAAUACCUUGCUGUUUUGACGUUACCGACAGAAUAAGCACCGGCUAACUCUGUGCCAGCAGCCGCGGUAAUACAGAGGGUGCAAGCGUUAAUCGGAAUUACUGGGCGUAAAGCGCGCGUAGGUGGUUCGUUAAGUUGGAUGUGAAAGCCCCGGGCUCAACCUGGGAACUGCAUCCAAAACUGGCGAGCUAGAGUACGGUAGAGGGUGGUGGAAUUUCCUGUGUAGCGGUGAAAUGCGUAGAUAUAGGAAGGAACACCAGUGGCGAAGGCGACCACCUGGACUGAUACUGACACUGAGGUGCGAAAGCGUGGGGGAGCAAACAGGAUUAGAUACCCUGGUAGUCCACGCCGUAAACGAUGUCAACUAGCCGUUGGAAAUCCUUGAGAUUUUUAGUGGCGCAGCUCAUCGCAUUUAAUGUUUGACCGCCCUGGGGGAGUACGGCCCGCCUAUGGAUUAAAUACUCACAUUGAAUUUGGAACC
rnacentral:rRNA from 1 species